rnacentral:rRNA from 1 species
ACGCACGCUGGCGGCGUGCUUAACACCUGCAAGUCGAACGGAAAGGCCCUGCUUUUGUGGGGUGCUCGAGUGGCGAACGGGUGAGUAACACGUGAGUAACCUGCCCUUGACUUUGGGAUAACUUCAGGAAACUGGGGCUAAUACCGGAUAGGAGCUCCUGCUGCAUGGUGGGGGUUGGAAAGUUUCGGCGGUUGGGGAUGGACUCGCGGCUUAUCAGCUUGUUGGUGGGGUAGUGGCUUACCAAGGCUUUGACGGGUAGCCGGCCUGAGAGGGUGACCGGCCACAUUGGGACUGAGAUACGGCCCAGACUCCUACGGGAGGCAGCAGUGGGGAAUAUUGCACAGUGGGCGGAAGCCUGAUGCAGCAACGCCGCGUGCGGGAUGACGGCCUUCGGGUUGUAAACCGCUUUCGCCUGUGACGAAGCGUGAGUGACGGUAAUGGGUAAAGAAGCACCGGCUAACUACGUG